rnacentral:rRNA from 1 species
UACGUAGGGGGCAAGCGUUGUCCGGAAUCAUUGGGCGUAAAGCGCGCGUAGGUGGCUUCGUAAGUCCGUUGUGAAAGUCAAAGGCUCAACCUUUGAAAGCCGAUGGAUACUGUGGAGCUAGAGUACGGAAGAGGCGAGUGGAAUUCCUGGUGUAGCGGUGGAAUGCGCAGAUAUCAGGAGGAACACCAAUAGCGAAGGCAGCUCGCUGGGACGUUACUGACACUGAGGCGCGAAAGCGUGGGGAGCGAACAGG